rnacentral:lncRNA from 1 species
CAGAACUCCUUACACCCCCUUUAAAACUGUCCUAAACACCCUCUAACCCCCAAACCCUCAGAACUAACCCUCAGAACUAAAUACCUCUCUCACCCUCCGCCCAUCACCACCGCCCGCCACCCGCCGAAAAUCACCCCACGACAGCGGACCAACUCAAAUCACCCCCAAAUUUUUACCACACAACCCCAAGACCCUCCUAAAUCAUACCCCCUUAUCAAUUUUCCCAAAAAUCCUCACCCAUUUCCCUCAAUUUCGAAUCUGGAAAUAAAUAAAAAAAAAUUAGCUUUGCACUUUGUGGAUUUCUACACUAUUUGCGUUCUUUUUGGUUUGAAGCUCACCCAAAUCGAUUGCUCUUGACAAGAGCAAUCGUUUUGGGUCAGUUUUGAUCCAUUUCGAAAUAUAAUCAGAGUCUGUCCAGAAUUUUGCCACUGUUUUGUUCGCCAUGUUCUUCAAUCUUUGUUUCUUAAGGUUCAAUCAAUAUUUCUACUCAUCUUUCCUAUUUUCUGGAUUGAUUGUGUUUUUCUUUGAUUGAUUAACUAAGUGUUAAAUUUUGUUUGCAUGAUCAAUUAGAAUAGUUUAUAGGUAGAUUUAGUUUAAUUAAAAGUCAGUGUUUAGUGAAGUCUUUUAUAAUUGGAAUUCAAAUAUGACAUGUGUUAUUUCAUUCUCUUUGUGGCCUGUUUUCUUUAAGGUCGGAUAUGGGCUUGGUCUUGGGCCAUUUAGGUCAUAGCAUUUGGCCCAAACCUAAGCAGAUAGUCUGCUUCUAGAAGUGACAGCUGGCAUUUUUCAGUUAGAAAAAGAUUCCCUCCCCUCUCCCAACAGACCUUCUUUGAUUUUAUAUAGCCUAUAUAUACACCCUUUACACAGAGACGAAAAGAGGGAGGGCGGAUUUCGACUCAGCAUUCUUCUAAAAAUACGCUCAAGGACACACACUGUUUUUUUUUUUAGAUUAAUCCUCUGAGAAAAUCCAGAAUUCCAUUAUGAAAUUGAAGAAAAGUUGUUAAACUUCGCUUUGGAAAUUCAGAGUUCAUAUUGAUUCUGUGAUGCUGUUGCUGUUACUGCUGUUGCUUUUGCUAUUUUCUGUUGCAUCUUGCUGAUAUUCUCCUCAAUAUUCAGAGAUUUAUUUUCUUUGUGUAUUUUGGCUAUCCUCAGGUAUGUAGCUGAGCAUUUGUUCUUAUAUUGGCUGUAUACAUGAAGCUCGGAAAUAGUUGUUGGAUCUCAUAUUGAUGCAUACGUUGUUUGUUUAAACUUCAGUUUCGGCUUUAUUCUGUCCAGUCCUUGGUUGAAUAUGUAAUGUUAAAUAUUUUGAUUAAUUUUUUGAGUUGGGGUAAGCUAUUUACAGACUUGAAAGUUUAUUUGGUAUUCUGAUGAAUUUGUGAGAAGAUGGCCUGAAUUUUAUGUAGAUUCGUUUGUAUUGAAGGUCUGGGCUGGCAAAUUUGUCAACACGUAGAUUUCUGAAAUGACCAAUUUUUUAAAUUCAAGAUUUGUAUACUAUUCUAUGUCAUAUACAAUUGUAGUUUACUCCCAAACCAAUCAUUAUAAAAAAAUGUGUGUAUUUUAGCAGGACCUGGAAAAUGAGAGCGAAAGAGUGUUUGAAUUUUA